GACUUUGUAGUUCAGUGGGCUAGAACACCAUCGCAACUUGCUUUACAGCAUUGUUAUCUCGGGAGUUUGCUACAAUUUGCUUCGGCGUUUGGAGUUUCUUGGGUGCGUAGAUGGAAACGGAGGUUCGAUGCCUUCCGAAGUCA